rnacentral:rRNA from 1 species
CCUACGGGAGUCAGCAGUGGGGAAUAUUGGACAAUGGGGGGAACCCUGAUCCAGCGACGCCGCGUGAGUGAAGAAGUAUUUCGGUAUGUAAAGCUCUAUCAGCAGGGAAGAAAAUGACGGUACCUGACUAAGAAGCCCCGGCUAACUACGUGCCAGCAGCCGCGGUAAUACGUAGGGGGCAAGCGUUAUCCGGAUUUAUUGGGUUUAAAGGGUGCGGAGGCGGAAUGCCAAGUCAGCGGUAAAAUCGCGGGGCUCAACCUCGCUCCGCCGUUGAAACUGGCGUUGUUGAGUGGGCGAGAAGUAUGCGGAAUGCGUGGUGUAGCGGUGAAAUGCAGAGAUAUCACGCAGAACUCCGAUUGCGAAGGCAGCAUACCGGCGCCCAACUGACGCUGAAGCACGAAAGCGUGGGUAUCGAACAGGAUUAGAUACCCCAGUAGUC